rnacentral:rRNA from 1 species
GUGCCAGCCGCCGCGGUAAUACGGAGGGUGCAAGCGUUGUUCGGAAUCAUUGGGCGUAAAGCGCGCGCAGGCGGCCUAUUAAGUCUGAUGUGAAAGCCCGAGGCUCAACCUCGGAGGUGCAUUGGAAACUGGUAGGCUUGAGUCCGAGAGAGGUUAGUGGGAUUCGUGGUGUAGGAGUGAAAUCCGUAGAUAUCACGAGGAACACCAGUGGCGAAGGCGACUGACUAGAUCGGAACUGACGCUGAGGCGCGAAAGCGUGGGUAGCAAACAGGAUUAGAUACCCUUGUAGUC